rnacentral:rRNA from 1 species
UACGUAGGGUGCAAGCGUUGUCCGGAAUUAUUGGGCGUAAAGAGCUCGUAGGCGGUUUGUCGCGUCUGCUGUGAAAACCCGAGGCUCAACCUCGGGCCUGCAGUGGGUACGGGCAGACUAGAGUGCGGUAGGGGAGAUUGGAAUUCCUGGUGUAGCGGUGAAAUGCGCAGAUAUCAGGAGGACACCGGUGGCGAAGGCGGGACUCUGGGCCGAUACUGACGCUGAGGAGCGAAAGCGUGGGGAGCGAACAGG